CCUACGGGAGGCAGCAGUGGGGAAUAUUGCACAAUGGGCGAAAGCCUGAUGCAGCCAUGCCGCGUGUGUGAAGAAGGCUUCGGGUUGUAAAGCACUUUCAGUAGGGAGGAAAGGUUAACGAUUAAUACUCGUUAGCUGUGACGUUACCUGCAGAAGAAGGACCGGCUAACUCCGUGCCAGCAGCCGCGGUAAU
rnacentral:rRNA from 1 species